rnacentral:rRNA from 1 species
UACAGAGGGGGCAAGCGUUGUUCGGAAUUACUGGGCGUAAAGGGCGCGUAGGCGGCCUUCUAAGUCGAACGUGAAAUCCCUGGGCUCAACCCAGGAACUGCAUCUGAUACUGGAUGGCUUGAGAUUGGGAGAGGGAUGCGGAAUUCCAGGUGUAGCGGUGAAAUGCGUAGAUAUCUGGAGGAACACCGGUGGCGAAGGCGGCAUCCUGGACCAACACUGACGCUGAGGAGCGAAAGCCAGGGGAGCAAACGGG